GGGCGCGUAGCUCAGGGGUAGAGCAUCUGCCUUUUAAGCAGAGGGUCGGUGGUUCGAUCCCACCCGCGCUCA
rfam:Ignavibacteria bacterium RBG_16_36_9 RBG_16_scaffold_5499, whole genome shotgun sequence.